rnacentral:rRNA from 1 species
GAUGAACGCUGGCGGCGUGCCUAAUACAUGCAAGUCGAGCGAACGGACGAGAAGCUUGCUUCUCUGAUGUUAGCGGCGGACGGGUGAGUAAAACGUGGAGAACCUACCUAUAAGACUGGGAUAACUUCGGGAAACCGGAGCUAAUACCGGAUAAUAUUUUGAACCGCAUGGUUCAAAAGUGAAAGACGGUCUUGCUGUCACUUAUAGAUGGAUCCGCACUGCAUUAGCUAGUUGGUAAGGUAACGGCUUACCAAGGCAACGAUGCAUAGCCGACCUGAGAGGGUGACCGGCCACACUGGAACUGAGACACGGUCCAGACUCCUACGGGAGGCAGCAGUAGGGAAUCUUCCGCAAUGGGCGCAAGCCUGACGGAGCAACGCCGCGUGUGUGAUGAAGGUCUUCGGAUCGUAAAGCUCUGUUAUUAGGGAAGAACAUAUGUGUAAGUAACUGUGCACAUCUUGACGGUACCUAAUCAGAAAGCCACGGCUAACUACGUG